rnacentral:rRNA from 1 species
GACGAACGCUGGUGGCGUGCCUACACAUGCAAGUCAACGGGGUGUCCUUCGGGGACACUUAGUGGCGAACGGGUGAGUAACGCGUGAGAAACCUGCCUUUCAGUGGGGGACAACAGUUGGAAACGACUGCUAAUACCGCAUAAGCGCACAGUAUCGCAUGGUACGGUGUGAAAAACUCCGGUGGUAUGAGAUGGACCCGCGUCUGAUUAGCUAGUUGGUGAGGUAACGGCUCACCAAGGCGACGAUCAGUAGCCGGCCUGAGAGGGUGAACGGCCACAUUGGGACUGAGACACGGCCCAAACUCCUACGGGAGGCAGCAGUGGGGAAUAUUGCACAAUGGGGGAAACCCUGAUGCAGCGACGCCGCGUGAGUGAAGAAGUAUUUCGGUACGUAAAGCUCUAUCAGCAAGGAAGAAAUACCGACCUUUGGUCGCUAGACGGUACUUGACUAAGAAGCCCCGGCUAAUUACGUG